CAUUCACGGAGAGUUUGAUCCUGGCUCAGGACGAACGCUGGCGGCGUGCUUAACACAUGCAAGUCGAACGAUGAAGCCCUUCGGGGUGGAUUAGUGGCGAACGGGUGAGUAACACGUGGGCAAUCUGCCCUGCACUCUGGGACAAGCCCUGGAAACGGGGUCUAAUACCGGAUAUGACCAUCUUGGGCAUCCUUGAUGGUGUAAAGCUCCGGCGGUGCAGGAUGAGCCCGCGGCCUAUCAGCUUGUUGGUGAGGUAACGGCUCACCAAGGCGACGACGGGUAGCCGGCCUGAGAGGGCGACCGGCCACACUGGGACUGAGACACGGCCCAGACUCCUACGGGAGGCAGCAGUGGGGAAUAUUGCACAAUGGGCGAAAGCCUGAUGCAGCGACGCCGCGUGAGGGAUGAC
rnacentral:rRNA from 1 species